rnacentral:lncRNA from 1 species
GAGCAGGACAUUUUAAAAUUCUGGUGGGUGACACACUCGAUGAAAUGAGCGAGGUUGGCUUUGUGGAGACAAUGGGUUCGACCAAGACUGUCACUUUGCCUAAGAAUACUAGAGGGAGAUACGUGAAACUUUUUCAGGCUAUUACAGCUGUAUUUCACAUGUGCGAAGUCGAAGUGUACGCAAUACCAGAGAACUGUCGCUGCGAAAAUGGUGGCAUUUUAAGCCAAGACAAUUCUUGUGGAUAUAAAUGCGUGUGUCCAGCAUACAGAGAUUACAGAUUCAUGGGUGCUAAUUGCGAGGAGAAGUGGAUAAAGCUGCCCAGUAGUUCGACAUACGACCUCGUCCCUCGAACAUAAAGCUGAAGGUUAAAAAUGCCGAUCAAUUGGUAAUAAAGUAAGGCUUUGAAAGAACAGAAACAUUAUUUUGCAGUUUUUUGGACAACAUUCGGAGCAAGGAAGAAGAUUUUGUUUUAAUUUAGCUUUGUGAGCAAUCUUUGGAAUAACUGAUGAUUUAGACAUAAUUAUUUUUCAAUCUAUCUUUUUCAAAUAAAGCACUGUUUUUUGUAUCCCUUUCCUUAAGCUUAUCAUAAUCCAGACUGUGAAUGUUAUUUAUGAUUUACUUUAUUAUAAUAUUAAGUAACAAAUCAUGUUGAAUGAACACAUUAGAACAAAGAUCUUUUCCUGACAUACAAUUUCCCGGACAAAUUCCUCCCCCGCCACCUAAAAAAAUGUAAUGUAACAUGUUAAAAAAUACAUAAAAAUAAUUCAUCGCAGUUUUCUCAUUUUGAUCACUUCUUCAUUGCUUAUGUUAUUCUUGUUAAGAUUUUAUAAUCGUAAUCAAGAUUUUGUUAUGUUAUUCUUUAUAGUCGUAAUCAAUACUUUGUUCUGUUAUGACUCACUUAUCUUUUUUGAUAAAAAUUACUCAUAUGUAAUGUUAAAUGACAAAUAGUUAGAAUAAAACUGUGUUUCUUUUAUUAUUGACUGUAAACAUUUAAAAAAAGAUACAUUUAUACCACUUACCGAACGAUCGAAUUUUAUUAUAAACAGUAUUAUUUCAUUCUUGGUUUGUAUAGGUAAUUCAAACAUUUUUGGAAAAGAGGAAAACUUCUUCAUAUUUUUCCUCCUUCAGAUCCUUUCUGAUAAAAACUGUUUGUUGUUUUAUCCAUAAUUUAUGUUAUUUAUGUUAAAGUAAUUAUAUCAGGAUUUUGUUAGGUUAUUGUUUACUUAUCAUUUAUUAUAUCUAUCAUAUUUACUCAGAUCUAAAGGCAGACUGCAUAAAAUGACAAGUUCUAGUAUUUAUUGAACAUAAAUUUAUUUUUACAAGUACCACUUUAAAACUACCCGCCUACAGUUAGGGUGAAAAUUUUAAACAUGUUCAUUUCCACCAAGUUUGACAUAGAAUGUACAUGACACUGAAUACAUGUCGUCAUGUCAGUGCAAUAACUCAAUAAGUGCAUAUAUAUUAUAUAAGCACUUAUUGAGUUAUUGCGCUAACAUGACGAUGUAAUGAUAAAGUGGGUGAAAAUAAAAGUUAGGUAUUGGUAAAAAUUGUAAAUUUUCUGCAUCAUUUCAACAGCGUUUCAACGGUUUACUACCUUCUGCACAAUAGUUUUGGUUAUUCAUAAGAAUAUCUUGCAGAAAUCUUAUGUCAGUGGUGUCCCCCUGCACAUCGAUUUAUGGCGGGCAAUGCCACUGGUAUGUCAUUCGUUCUUUUUAAGUAUAUGUCAUAUAACGUAUAUAUUAACAGCAAAUUUGAACCACUUUGACUAUUUUGUAUGACACUGGUCAAAAUUAGAAGCUAGAAUUUGAGUGAACUGCUUCUUACUUUUAAAAUUUAAUAACGUUACCUUUUUUUUUUUUUUUAGUUUUUGAUGAAGGAAGGUAUAAAGGCAUUUUUUAAAAGAAAAUGUAUAUGGUGUACCCUGAAAAAGCUAGUCUGACUUUCAUACACAGUAAAAACAGCUCUGGCUGAAAAAUAAAUACCAGGUCCUAGGAAGUUCAAAUGGUUGGCCCCUAAUUAUAUUUGUAACAGAUAAAAUAUGCUUCCGAAUUCUUGAAUAUUUAGGAGUAGAAUGAACUAAAUUUGUCUCUAAAUCUAAAAAAUAAAUAAAUAACCUCUGUUUCGUUAUCUAUGACACAUGAUUUGAGGAGGUUGUGUUCAUGGUAAGAUUCAGAAUCGGUACAUGUAUGUGGACUAAGGAAAUGCUGCAUGUGGCUUUAAAUCAGAAAUGCAUCUUCAUAAAAUAAAUGUGAAUGGAUAA